GACGAACGCUGGCGGCGUGCCUAAUACAUGCAAGUAGAACGCACAGUUUAUACCGUAGCUUGCUACACCAUAGACUGUGAGUUGCGAACGGGUGAGUAACGCGUAGGUAACCUGCCUGGUAGCGGGGGAUAACUAUUGGAAACGAUAGCUAAUACCGCAUAAUAUUAAUUAUUGCAUGAUAAUUAAUUGAAAGGUGCAAUUGCACCACUACCAGAUGGACCUGCGUUGUAUUAGCUAGUAGGUGAGGUAACGGCUCACCUAGGCGACGAUACAUAGCCGACCUGAGAGGGUGAUCGGCCACACUGGGACUGAGACACGGCCCAGACUCCUACGGGAGGCAGCAGUAGGGGAUCUUCGGCAAUGGACGAAAGUCUGACCGAGCAACGCCGCGUGAGUGAAGAAGGUUUUCGGAUCGUAAAGCUCUGUUGUAAGAGAAGAACGGGUGUGAGAGUGGAAAGUUCACACUGUGACGGUAUCUUACCAGAAAGGGACGGCUAACUACGUG
rnacentral:rRNA from 1 species